GCCAGGGACAAAGAUGGUGGGCCGGAAACUUUGACAUCAGAGGACCUCGCUUCGUGACGUCAUCUGGGUGCGCCGGAGAAUCAGAAGGGAGCUGACAGUGGAGGUGCAGCUCCGGACUAUGUACGGGCGGUGAGCCAGAGACGAAUGGUGCAAACAUAGGGCAUUGAGAAGGCGUCUGAUCUGUAUUCGAAUUCCUGCUCUGAAUGUGACUGGGAAAAUGUUUAACGUCUCAAUUACAGUCUUAUCUUACUGAAACUUAAAUGGUAUAGUGGGUAAAACAGAGCGUAAUAAAUGUGCUUGCACAAAAGUUUCA